GACGAACGCUGGCGGCGUGCUUAACACAUGCAAGUCGAGGGAGCGCUUUCGGGCGCGACCGGCGAACGGGUGCGUAACACGUGAGCGACCUGCCCAACUGCGGGGGAUAGCCGGCCCAACGGCCGGGUAAUACCGCAUACGCUCGCUGGGUGGCAUUGCCUGGCGAGGAAACUUCUGGGGCGGUUGGAGGGGCUCGCGGCCUAUCAGCUAGUUGGCGGGGUAACGGCCCACCAAGGCGACGACGGGUAGCUGGUCUGAGAGGAUGGCCAGCCACAUUGGGACUGAGAGACGGCCCAGACUCCUACGGGAGGCAGCAGUGGGGAAUAUUGCGCAAUGGCCGCAAGGCUGACGCAGCGACGCCGCGUGGAGGAUGACGCCUUUCGGGGUGUAAACUCCUGUUGCCCGGGACGAACCUCAGGUUUCGACCUGACUGACGGUACCGGGUGAGGAAGCACCGGCUAACUCCGUGCCAGCAGCCGCCGUAACAC
rnacentral:rRNA from 1 species